CUUAUUUCUGUUGAUUUGAUCACUGCAGCUUGUCUGUCAGAAGUAGUAAGAGAACCUGUUCAUAUCAAGAGGUAAGGAAUGCACCUUCUCCUAGCAAUGGAGUGGAAACUAACCAAUCUCAGUGUACUUUCAGGUGAAGAAAGUGAAUCUAGCCUUUGCUGUCAAAGGCUACAAGCAGUUUCAUAAGAAGAAAGCAAGAUACAUAACCAAAGCUUCUGAGAGGUUAUAGAAGUAUUGACUUGCUCUAGCCAAGAAUAAGGAAAGCACUUAUACCUACUAGAUUAACAGUACAGCUGAUUGUAUGGAGAGAAAGAUAAACCAAUCCAGCAAUUCACCACACAGAAGGUGGUCAUAUUUCAAGAUGCAAGGAUGACACAUGGCUGUAGUUUACAGGAAGGAAUUAGCUGAUCCAUCCUUUUAAGGAGGUAAGAAAUAUGGGAAUGAUGUAUUGUAAUAGUCAAUGGUUCUGGUCAUCCAUUCAGGUGGAAGGAAGGUAACUGAGGAAAUCUUCAUCUCUCUAAAGAGCACAAGAAAUUGCUGUACUGAAUAAAGCACUAAAAAUGGGAGCUACCUGUUCAGAUGAAAGGAAAGUAGUUGGUAAUUCUAACCAAUGAUGAUGAUCUUUGUUCCUUUUUCCUUCCCAGAGAAGGCCAUUGCUUGUUCCUACAAGGAUGUAACAGGGAAGUUAUUUCAAAGAACAAGUGCAACUAACCAGAGUGUGAAGAUGAGCAUUGAGCCUGUUCUUGCAUUUGCAGAGAGGAGUUGUCCAGCUGAUUCUAGUUGUGCCUAAUUGAUCAUUGUUGCUUAUUUUUCAGAUGUCAAGAAAUAAGCGGAACUGAUCAUUUCUAUCAAGAGGUAAGGAACGCACCUCCUCACAGCAUGGAGGCAGGAAUGAAAGGCUCUGUUUCUAUUUUCAGAUGAAAGGAAGGUCUUACCAUUCAAGGGAGGAUGAGAGGCUGCUGAAUUUAAGAAAAAAAAGUCAGACAGGUUUUGCUCUUCUGAGAUAUGAAGAGACCAGGUGGUCAUUCCUACCAGGGAGAAGUGAGGCUUAGUGGCGUGGCUGUCCUGGGCAAGAAGGUAAGAAAUACCAGUCUCCAAACAUCCAUGUGUACAUUAAGUGGUGUGGAUUUUGCUUUCAGGGAGAAAAACUGUGGAUGACCUUACUUGUCAUGGGGAGAGUGUCAAAAGCAGACACAAGAUAAAGCAACAUGGACUUGCCAACUGCUCAAUCCAUUGAGGACUCCAGUGACAAAAUGCUUUUUUUUUAAUUCCCUUGAAAUAAUACACAGACAAAAAAAAGCCACUUCAAGUAGUUCAGCUAGUCGCAAAUCUGAAUCAAGUCAGAACAUAAGACAUGGAGAUGAGAGAAAUGCAGAUGAUUUGAACGUUGAGAGUGUGAAAUCUUCAGGAAGUUGCUAGAAGAUCUGGGAUAUCUACAGAAAAGAAACAAGCAAAACUCGUCCCUGCUACCAAGAGGAGGAGAGUUACAGAUGCUCAGGAUUUGAGUACAAAGGAAUAGGAAUGGAGCUGAACAGAUUCAACACCUGAAAGGACGAUUGGAUCUCAAAAUAUGAAAGUCCCUUCAUUCAAUAAAGCAACAGGAUUGGCUCUGAGGAGAGGUAAGCAGCAUUUGGUAAGUCUAAGAAAUGAGCAUAGCAAUUUUGUAGCGCUGAUUGUAACUUAUGUUGUGCCAAAGGGUUUGUUACAGCUGAUCACACAUCUCAGGAGCUAAGAGGAUGUGAGGGGGAUGGCAGAUGUCAGGGGAUUCAUCUUUAUUAGGAGGUGGUGAACCUGCUUGUCACUUCUGAGUGACAUCAGUGGCUUUGGUUUUGCUUGAUGAAGGAAAGAGCCAGCGUGGACAGUAUUCAAGACAC